GACGAACGCUGGCGGCGUGCUUAACACAUGCAAGUCGAGCGGAAAGGCCCUUCGGGGUACUCGAGCGGCGAACGGGUGAGUAACACGUGAGCAACCUGCCCUAGGCUUUGGGAUAACCCCGGGAAACCGGGGCUAAUACCGAAUAGGACCUGGCCUCGCAUGAGGCUGGGUGGAAGGUUUUUCGGCCUGGGAUGGGCUCGCGGCCUAUCAGCUUGUUGGUGGGGUGAUGGCCUACCAAGGCGACGACGGGUAGCCGGCCUGAGAGGGCGACCGGCCACACUGGGACUGAGACACGGCCCAGACUCCUACGGGAGGCAGCAGUGGGGAAUAUUGCGCAAUGGGCGGAAGCCUGAUGCAGCGACGCCGCGUGAGGGAUGACGGCCUUCGGGUUGUAAACCUCUUUCAGCAGAGACGAAGCGUAAGUGACGGUACCUGCAGAAGAAGCGCCGGCCAACUACGUGCCAGCAGCCGCAGUAA
rnacentral:rRNA from 1 species